ACCGCGAUCGCGGGGGGACUCAGUCCGGUGCUGCCUAGGCUCGAGCCCAAACUCGAUGUGUACUUAAACAGGCUGUCGCGGACGUCGUCGUCGUGUCCGCGGGGACUCGUUCUCCGCGGGCCAGCUUUUGUGCCCGCGUCGCCGACGAAGGAGACGGGCCGCGUAGACAGCGGGAAGGGAAACGUGGUGAUGACCGCGGCGACGGCGGCUGCGAUGGGGGGACCGUGAGGUUCGCGCCUCGCGCCCUUUCACUCGCUGCCGCCGGCCUGCCGCAUCCGUCGCCGCCGCUUCUUCUUUCCUCUCGCUCCCUCUGCGCGCGACUCCGCUGCACUCGUCCCCUUCUCACCGCUCGGCAAUUUAUGGCGCGGGCGCUUCGGCGCGACUUCCGCACGGCCGGCACCGGACGCACUUCCCCUCCGGUCCGUCGUCGCGACCCGUUCCCGGCGUGCAGGUCGACACGCGGGUUUUUCCGUAGGCGGCAGGCGCUUUUGAAAACCCCCGCGCAUCUUCUCGAUGCGCGGGGGCCACCGGCCGUCGGGCCCGCGAACGUAACUGCCCCUUUCUGCCGGGGACGGAGGAAAUCUGACGCGAUCCGUUAUACGUGGCGAGCCGGUUCGUCUUUAAUCCCGUCGGACGUCUCGUGCGGGUGGCACCUCGGUGUCGCUCCCUCGGCGCCCCACCGUCUCGGGCGUGCGCGAGAGAAGAGUCGGGAGAGAACUGGCGCGGCCUCGCCGUCACGCACCUCGCCGGUGUUCGGGUUAUUCAAGCGGUGUCGGGGGUGACCCCGCCCGCGCCCGUUCCGUCCGGCGAGAUCGCUCGGCGACGCCCUUCACGGCCGCCCGCCACUUCGGGUCAGCGACGUGCAUCGGCAACCCACCCGACCCGUCUUGAAACACGGACCGAGGAGUCCUGGCCGUUCGCGAGUCGUAGGGGCCCCCUCUGACUAACCCCGAAGGCGUAGCGAAAGCGAGAGAGCGUGUUGGAGGGCGCCGACCGGGAGAGGUGUCGUGGCGAAGUCGUCGGGGGAGUUGCGGUUUCGGCCGUCUCUUCGCCGCCUCCGAGCCGUGCCCGAUCCCGCCGGUGCGGUGUCUCGUCUUCCGCGCGUCGUCGCUGCAGGCCCGCACUUUUCUGCCCCACAAGGGUGGAGAGGGAAGGCCUGUGGCUGGCGUGCGGUCGCGCGUUUCCCUCCUCCCCGAGACGGGGACCGGUCUAGGGAAUUGCGGGGCAUCAGCUUCUAUCCUCCUUCCGCCCAUCGGUGAGAUCCCGCGGCUUGAACUAGUCCUAUUUUGUCGUCGAGUUUAGGCACUGCGCGCGGGCGCAUCACCCCCGGGUCGGUUCCUUCUCCGAGUACGACUCGGCCGACUCUGGCGUAGCGAGCGACCAGGGACCCGAAAGAUGGCGAUCCACGCCCGGUCGGGAUGAAGCCAGAGGAAACUCUGGUGGAAGUCCGAAGCGCCUCUGACGUGCAAAUCGAUCGUCGGAACCGGGUGUAGGGGCGAAAGACCAAUCGAGCCGUCUAGUAGCUGGUUCCCUCCGAAGUUUCCCUCAGGAUAGCUGGCGCUCGAUCGUCGCAAUUCCAUCCGGUAAAGCGAACGAUUGGAGGCCCCGGGGCCGUUCACGGCCUCGACCUACUCUCGAACUCGGAACGGGUGGAACGGGCCGACUCUCCCGAACAACGGAGCCGACCCAUAUUUUCGCGUCGCCACGGCGGCGGCGUCGAAAUCGAAUGCGAGUGCCAAGUGGGCCACUUUUGGUAAGCAGAACUGGCGCUGUGGGAUGAACCAAACGUCCGGCUAAGGUGCCUAACGCGACGCCCAUGAGAUCCCCGAAAGGGUGUCGGUCGAUAUAGACAGCAGGACGGUGGCCACGGAAGUCGGAAUCCGCUAAGGAGUGUGUAACAACUCACCUGCCGAAUCGACCGGCCCCGAAAAUGGAUGGCGCUGGAGCGACGGACCGAUGCCGGACCGUCGCGGCGAGGAGCGAUGAUUCUUUCGCGCCGAAACGAUGCCGCGACGAGUAGGAGGGCGCCGCGGCGAGCACGGAAGCCUAGGGCGCGAGCCCGGGUGGAGCCGACCGCGGGUGCAGAUCUCGGUGGUAGUAGCAAAUAUUCGAACGAGACCUUCGAAGACCGAAGUGGAGAAGGGUUCCGUGCCAACGGCGGUCGAGCACGGGUCAGUCGGUCCUAAGACGCGGGCGAAAGUCUUCCCGAAAGGCGCCGGAUCCGUAGUUAGUAGUAGUAAACGUCGUCGUCGCUCGCUGGCCCGCCCGCCCGCCCGCUCGUUCGUACCCUCCUUGGUUCGUUCGCGGCGUUCGCGCGUUGGUCGUCGUCGUCGUCGUCGACAAAAAAACAACAGCAACAGCGGCCGGCCUCCCGUCGAAAGGGAAUCGGGUUAAUAUUCCCGAACCCGGACUCGGAGAGGGCCCGGGGGUGGCGACGUCGUCGACAGCAAUGUCGGCGGCGCCCGUCGCUUCCCGGGCGAAACCGCGGUGACGCAAGCGA
rnacentral:rRNA from 1 species